UCAAGCAAAAAAGAGCGCAGGGUGGAUGCCUUGGCACUAAGAGCCGAUGAAAGACGUGAUAAGCUGCGAAAAGCUGCGGGGAGGAGCAAAUAUCCACUGAUCCGCAGAUGUCUGAAUGGGGAAACCCGCAUGAGCACACCUCAUGCAUCCAUACGCCAAUCCAUAACGUAUGGAGGGGAACCGCCUGAACUGAAACAUCUAAGUAGGGCGAGGAAGAGAAAGAAAAUUUAUCGAUUUCCAAAGUAGCGGCGAGCGAAAUGGAAAGAGGCCAAACCGGAGUGCGUGCACUCCGGGGUUCGGACCGCAUUUAAGAUUCAGUAAAUCUAGCAGAAAGGUUUUGGGAAAGCCUGCCGGAGAGGGUGAAAGCCCCGUAAGCGAAAGGAAAGCCAGCUGAGCGGUAUCCAGAGUACAUCGAGACACGAGAAACCUUGAUGGAAUGAGCGGGGACCACCCCGUAAGCCUAAAUACUCCUUAGUGACCGAUAGCGCAUAGUACUGUGAAGGAAAGGUGAAAAGGACCCCGGGAGGGGAGUGAAAGAGAACCUGAAACCCUGUGUUUACAAGCUGUGGGACAUCUUUACAUGAUGAACCGCGUACUUUUUGUAGAACGGUCCGGCGAGUUGCGGAUGCCGGCAAGGUUAAGCACUUAAGGUGUGGAGCCGAAGGGAAACCAAGUCUGAAGAGGGCGUAUAUAGUCAGUAUCCGCAGACCCGAAACCGGGUGAUCUACCCAUGUCCAGGUUGAAGUUGCCGUAAAAGGCAAUGGAGGACCGAACGCACAUCCGUUGAAAAGGGUGGCGAUGAGGUGUGGGUAGGGGAGAAAUUCCAAUCGAACCCGGAGAUAGCUGGUUCUCCUCGAAAUAGCUUUAGGGCUAGCCUCAUAUUAGUCUUGUGGAGGUAGAGCACUGAAUUUCCGCGGGGGCGUCAAAGCUUACCAAAGAAUAUCAAACUCCGAAUGCCAUGUAGAUGAUGAACGGGAGUCAGACUGCACGAGAUAAGUUGGGCAGUCAAAAGGGAAAGAGCCCAGACCUGCUGCUAAGGUCCCAAAGUACGUGUUAAGUGGAAAAGGAUGUGGGAUUUCGAAGACAACUAGGAUGUUGGCUCAGAAGCAGCCACACAUUCAAAGAGUGCGUAACAGCUCACUAGUCGAGAGGUCCUGCGCCGAAAAUGUCCGGGGCUGAAACACAACACCGAAGCUGCGGAAUCACGCAAGUGAUUGGUAGAGGAGCAUUCUUAAUACCGACGAAGCUGUACCGGAAGGAGCAGUGGAGGGAUAAGAAGAGAGAAUGCCGGAAUGAGUAGCGAGAGAGAGGUGGGAAUCCUCUCGGCCGAAUAUCCAAGGUUUCCAGAGUAAAGCUGAUCUGCUCUGGGUAAGUCGGGGCCUAAGGCGAGGUCAAAAGACGUAGCCGAUGGACAACAGGUUUAGAUUCCUGUACCGCAUAUAAACAGAACUGUGGGGACGCAUGGGGAGAGCAUGGGCCGGGAAUGGAAAUACCGGUGCAAGCGAAGGAGGUGUGCAGCCGGCAAAUCCGCUGCAUAAGCCGAAAGCGUGACGCGGAGCGAAAUAAAAGUAGCGAAGCAUGUGAGCCCUGUGCCGAGAAAAGCCGCUAUUGUUUUAUAUGUGCCCGUACCGUAAACCGACACAGGUGGAUGAGGAGAGAAUCCUAAGGCCGGCGGAAGAAGCAUUGUUAAGGAACUCGGCAAAAUGACCCCGUAACUUCGGGAGAAGGGGUGCCCUGUGAAAGCAGGGCCGCAGAGAAUAGGCUCAAGCAACUGUUUAGCAAAAACACAGGUCUAUGCGAAACCGUAAGGUGAUGUAUAUGGGCUGACGCCUGCCCGGUGCUGGAAGGUUAAGAGGAGAGGUUAGCUUCGGCGAAGCUUUGAAUUCAAGCCCCAGUAAACGGCGGCCGUAACUAUAACGGUCCUAAGGUAGCGAAAUUCCUUGUCGGGUAAGUUCCGACCCGCACGAAAGGCGUAAUGAUUUGGGCACUGUCUCAACAAUGCACCCGGUGAAAUUGAAAUACCAGUGAAGAUGCUGGUUACCUGCGCCAGGACGGAAAGACCCCAUGGAGCUUUACUCCAGCUUGAUACUGGGAUUCGAUACUGUAUGUACAGGAUAGGUGGGAGACGUUGAGCAUAGAACGCCAGUUUUAUGUGAGUCGCUGUUGGGAUACCACCCUUGCAGUAUUGGAUUUCUAACCUGCAGCCAUGACCUGGCUGGGGGACAAUGUCUGGCGGGGAGUUUGACUGGGGCGGUCGCCUCCGAAAGGGUAUCGGAGGCGCUCAAAGGUUCCCUCAGAAUGGUCGGAAACCAUUUGAAGAGUGCAAAGGCAGAAGGGAGCUUGACUGCGACACCGACGGGUGGAGCAGGUACGAAAGUAGGACUUAGUGAUCCGGUGGUAUUAAGUGGGAAUGCCAUCGCUCAACGGAUAAAAGCUACCCUGGGGAUAACAGGCUUAUCUCCCCCAAGAGUUCACAUCGACGGGGAGGUUUGGCACCUCGAUGUCGGCUCAUCGCAUCCUGGGGCUG
rnacentral:rRNA from 1 species